rnacentral:rRNA from 1 species
GACGAACGCUGGCGGCGUGCUUAACACAUGCAAGUAGAACGGAAAGGCCCUGCUUUUGUGGGCUGCUCGAGUGGCGAACGGGUGAGUAACACGUGAGUAAGCUGCCCUUGACUUUGGGAUAACUUCAGGAAACUGGGGCUAAUACCGGAUAGGAGCUCCUGCUGCAUGGUGUGGGUUGGAAAGUUUCGGCGGGUGGGGAUGGACUCGCGGCUUAUCAGCCUGUCGGUGGGGUAGUGGCUUACCAAGGCAUUGACGGGUAGCCGGCCUGAGAGGGUGACCGGCCACAUUGGGACUGAGAUACGGCCCGUACUCCUACGGGAGGCAGCAGUGGAGAAUAGUGCACAAUGGGCGGAAGCCUGAUGCAGCAACGCCGCGUGCGGGAUGACGGCCUUCGGGUUGUAAACCGCUUUCGCCUGUGACGAAGCGUGAGUGACGGUAAUGGGUAAAGAAGCACCGGCUAACUACGUG